CGCUGUGUGAGGCUGCCCUCUGCCCUCAGCCCCGUGGUCGCUCAGCUCCGCCUGGGGUCUGAAAACUUUCAUUCCUCUCACGACCCCAACCCGAGCCUCACAAGGUGCUGAAAAUCCUCUCUGCGGUACCCUGAACCAUCACAGGCACCCGACGCAGAGAGCAACACGAAUUUCCUGCAAGCUCCCUCAGGAUCUUCCUCCUCACACAUUUCCCUGCCCCCGCUUGCUUUCUUCCUCUGCCUCUCUGCCUUUCUGACCCUGCGGGCAGAGCAGCCCAUCCCGUGUCUCCUGUUUGUGUUUGGAAGGAAAUGUUGGGCCGUGUUCUUGGGAAGAAAGGCACUUUUCAUUGCCUUGCGUUCAAGGCAGGUGACCUAUUCAGUUUGUCUUCUGACUCAGUACCUGUGAUCUAUGAUCUGAGCUGCACCCCGCCACUCACUGUGGCAGCUUUUAUCAUAACUCACAAUGUGGUGAGGUUUCCUCCAGUUAUCACUGCCCCCUGUGCCCCAAAUUCUCUAAAGAAACAGGGCUAGAAUGGGAUAAUACAGCUCUGCCAAAAAGGCACAGGUAGUGAUGGUGCAGAGGCCUGGAGGAGGCACCUCUGUGUGUGUCCUUGGCCAGAGGGGCAGGAAGAUUCUUUAGUCCUGAUCUUUCCUUCUCUGCCAUGAUGGGAGCAACAGCGCCAGAACUGUCCAUCACUGCACAAGCAUUUAUUCCUUGUCCUGCUGUGAAUUCUCCUUGCUCAGGAAUGGUCUCAAAGAGAAGAUCCAUUGAGAUGGGACCUUCCAUCCAGCCUCACUUCACACAGAGCCCAGCAGGCUGCGAGUGGAACUCACGGAACAGCGCGAGCUCCAAGGAAGGCAGAGGAAGCAGAUCAGGAAAUUGAUCCCCAGGAGUUGUGAUCAAAUUGAGUUUUAAUGGUAGAUUGAAAGCUCUGGAACCAAAUUCUGCCUCUAGAAGACCAGGGACUUGUGUAAGAACAGUGCUGGUUAGCACUGCUCUUACCUACACCCUGCAUUUGAUGGGAAACCUUUAGCCCAAGCCUCCAGGGCUGCCACCAGCUGUAAUUCCUGGGAAUCUGCACCUUGGGAAGAGCCCUGGCAGGGGCAGUGUCUCCACUCUGCAGAGUCCCACGCGUGUCUGAGGAAGGGAUGCUCAGGGGAUGAACACCUGACAAGACAAAGCUCUGCCCUGGGGCAGCACCCUGAUUAGGAGGUUUGGGAACAUGUGGAAUAUUGAAAGAUCCAUUCAGAAAGGAAGUGUGGAGCCAGUGACAUCAAGCAUUUAUUAAUGAUUCCAGUCAAGAGAAAGAACUCAUGAAUAUUUCAAUGAGAUUGUGAGGGGAAGCCUCCCAAACACGAUAAAAUCACACUUAUCAAACAGCCUUUCAACUGCAGUGACAGCUCCAGCCUCUCUGAUCUGCGGUGUCUGAGACUCAGAUUGUGACAGAGACUGCAGAAGCCAGGCUUAGUGCCCUUAGUGCCAGCACAAGCUGGACAGAGUGUGUCAGCAGGAGAGCAGGCACUAUGGAAAGCCUUGCCAUAAACAUCUUUCUUCAUCAGCCUGCAUGGAAACCAUGGCUCACUGCCUCAGAGAUGAAGGUUUCAGAGAAAGAUAAAAGAAAUAAUGCUUGAGAAGAAGCCAGAGUAUUUUCAAACACUGAAACUUUUCAAUUAAUGUAUACAUCUUAUUCCCUGGGGCUGAUGACAAACUGGGCUCUGUGUUCACAGGGGAGUCUCCAUCAGUGUCACUGCAGGUAAAACAGCCAUCACUGGGGACACCCAGUGCCCUGGGGACACGCAGUUCCCCCCAGGGAGCCCCAGGCCCCUGAUGUCAGCAUUAUCUGGACAAAGAGGGACCCUGGUGCCUGCAGCUUCCAGAGGCAG
rnacentral:lncRNA from 1 species